rnacentral:rRNA from 1 species
UGCAGUCGAGCGAUGAAACCCUUCGGGGUGGAUUAGCGGCGGACGGGUGAGUAACACGUGGGUAACCUGCCUCAAAGAGGGGGAUAGCCUCCCGAAAGGGAGAUUAAUACCGCAUAACAUUAGCUUUCCGCAUGGAGAACUAAUUAAAGGAGUAAUCCGCUUUGAGAUGGACCCGCGGCGCAUUAGCUAGUUGGUGAGGUAAAGGCUCACCAAGGCGACGAUGCGUAGCCGACCUGAGAGGGUGAUCGGCCACAUUGGAACUGAGACACGGUCCAGACUCCUACGGGAGGCAGCAGUGGGGAAUAUUGCACAAUGGGCGAAAGCCUGAUGCAGCAACGCCGCGUGAGUGAUGAAGGCCUUCGGGUUGUAAAGCUCUGUCUUUUGGGACGAUAAUGACGGUACCAAAGGAGGAAGCCACGGCUAACUACGUGCCAGCAGCCGCGGUAAUACGUAGGUGGCGAGCGUUGUCCGGAUUUACUGGGCGUAAAGGAUGCGUAGGCGGAUAUUUAAGUGAGAUGUGAAAUACCCGAGCUUAACUUGGGUGCUGCAUUUCAAACUGGAUAUCUAGAGUGUGGGAGAGGAGAAUGGAAUUCCUAGUGUAGCGGUGAAAUGCGUAGAGAUUAGGAAGAACACCAGUGGCGAAGGCGAUUCUCUGGACCAUAACUGACGCUGAGGCAUGAAAGCGUG